AUAAAUUGAUAUGACAAAGCAUUACUUUGUAAAAUUAAAAUAAUAAUUCUUCUGAUUUAUGCGCUUUAUUCACUUAGUAAAGAUAUAGUGCAAACCCUUCUGAGAAAAGACUAAAACGAAUAUGGCAUUGUUUAGCCACACAGGUAGGUAUACAGUGCCAGCCAAAAAAAUCUUUACAAAGUGAAUAAAGUGCAUGAAUCAGAAGCAUUAUUAUUUUGAAUUUACAAAUGAAUACUUUGUCAUAUGAAUUUAUUACUUUAGUUGGGAAUAUGCCACAAAAUUGACUUCUUUAGCACACUAUAAUAGGGACAGACCUUAUACUAUAGUAGCACAGAAAAACUACCAUUACUGUCCGGUUUCUCAAAGCACUAGAAACGACAAAUUCUCUAGCUCUAGCUGUUGCAAUUCUGUCUCAAUCUGGACCAGGUCUUCAUGUAAACAGACCAGUCUCUUCGUACUGUUGCCAUACUCAUUGCACCAACAUUUCUCGCAGUUUUGCAGUGAUGGUGGCCAUCUUCUUACACUGUCACAACAGAACUUAUGCUCAUUGUAAUACACUAACAGUAACAACACUACAAAAAAUAUUUACAAUUGAUGUUAAAACCACAGAAACAAAACAUAUUUAUGCUGAUAAUGGUUUUUAGGAAUUAGAAGUAAGGGACCCUUUUUAUUCCAAAAGCUUAUUGAAACAGCAACAAUAACUUUUUUCAAGUAAUUCAUUAGUAAACUAUGUUACAAUCGAAAAUAGCUAAAAAAGAAUAAUAAUUUCUAAAAUAACUUCAAAUUAUGGGCCUACCCUGAUUUUAUGCUAGUCAGUGUAUUUGCUUUAACCCGUUCUCUACUAAGGGGGUAUUUAGGUUUCGUCCGCAUAUACCACAGCUUUUGAAAUUGCCAUUAUGUGCAAUGCGAUCCCAGCUCACGGGCGGGACUCUAGUCUAUGGGAUAAAUUGAUGUGGCUCAUAUACGAGUUACUUGGUAGUGAACGUAACAUUUUUUUGGUUUUUAUCACGUUAAGUGCCAUGCUGGUCCCUAGGGACUGAUAUAAGAAGUACCUCAUACGCCAUGGAGGUUCCUAGGGACCAUUGAGUAUUGACGAAAUUGUUACUUGGCCCGGGGGGCAUUUUUUCAAUAUUUUGUCUAGCACUUAACGUGUUAAUAGUUAAAGAAUUAAGCCUUUUCGUUGGUUUAAUGUCGCCCAUUUGCAAUACUUUCUCUUUUUCGAUCGUAUGUACAAUUCUUCUACAUCACAUGCUAAUUUUAUAUUUUAGAGUUGUGAGAUUUUUUCGGGGUAACGGCUCCUUCAAAAUACAGGGCUGCUGAAAUGGACAUCCCCCUAGGCAAGGUCACUACCCCAGACCAAUCAACCAAUUGGUCUCUACUCAAAUUAAUCACGAGAUGGGAGUAAAAUGGAAUAUCAAGUAUUUCCACUUCGUUCCUUUGUUAAGUCGACCGGACGGUAAGUCUAGUUGCGGCUAGACAGCAUUUGUUUCAGCAAAAACCAAUGUGAACCCAACAGAUAUACAUAAUGGAAUAUGUGUUGAAAAUUUGUAAUUACACAGAAUACGAACAUUGUACAUCUGCAAUCAUGUCGAUCGUUUUUCAUUACAACUAAUAGAUUUGUACGUUUGAUAUUGAUUUCACUCAUUUUAAUAGAUUUGUGUUAAAAUGUAUUUUAGUUUAGAGGAGUGUGAAGGAGAACAAAAAAUUUGGUAAUUGUACAAUUUGGAAAUGUAAAGUGCAACUAACCUUACUUUUUUCUGUAUCUUCAGCUUUACCUUCAUUGGUCACUGUUGUUUCUCAAUGUUAGAUAAUAAAGAACCCUAUUUACUUCCUUUAUCUACUUUUACAUCAUCAUUCUCUUUGCCUUAUCCCUAUGUGGGGUUGGCUUCCCUAAUAGCAUUUUUCCACACAAUUCUAUCUUGGGUCAUAUCAAUAUUAA
rnacentral:lncRNA from 1 species